rnacentral:sRNA from 1 species
CUCCUCCUUUUGCUGGGUGCUUACCGAGGCCUGGCAGUCCUACCUGGCUGUCAUUGGGCGGAUGCGCACCCGCCUCGUUCGCAAGCGCUUCCUCUGCCUGGGCUGGGGUGAGCAGGGCCAGUGCUGGACUCUGCUGCUGGGCCUUGGUGGGCAGGGGCAGCAAGAGAGGUUCAGCUUUGGCCCUGGCCCAGCUCUCUGGGCACAGGGGUCAGCUGGGAUGGGAAUCUGGGAGAACAAGGGGUCCCUGAAGACCAGCAACCGUCUCAUUCUGGCGCCCCUGCUUCCCCAGGUCUGCCUGCCCUGGUGGUGGCCGUGUCUGUUGGCUUUACCCGAACGAAAGGAUACGGUACAUCCAGCUACUGCUGGCUCUCCCUGGAGGGCGGCCUGCUCUACGCCUUCGUGGGCCCUGCAGCCGUCAUUGUCCUGGUGAACAUGCUCAUCGGAAUCAUCGUCUUCAACAAGCUCAUGGCACGUGAUGGCAUCUCCGACAAAUCUAAGAAGCAGAGGGCCGGGUAAGGGGAGGGCCUCUGAGACUUGGCCUUUCUGGAAAUGGUGCAGGGAGGGAGGGACAUGGGUGCUCUUGGAGACUCAGGGCUCGAUGAUGCGACCGGGGCUCCCCAACCUUGGUGCAUCAAGGUUGCAGGCAAGGUGGGCACCCGGGGUGCUCAGCCGCAGCCCCUCACCCACCCUAACCCAGCUCUCUCUCUCUCGUCUGCCCUCCCCUCCCACCCCACUCGGGGCUCACUCUGCCCCAUCUCCCGGCUUCCCAUGUGUUUCCCCCCCUUCUCCCAUGUCUGUGCCGCCCCCGAGGUCGGAGCGGUGCCCCUGGGCCAGCCUGCUCCUCCCCUGCUCAGCGUGUGGAGCGGUCCCCAGCCCCCUGCUCAGCUCAGCCUCGGCCAGGAACGCCAUGGCCUCACUCUGGAGCUCCUGCGUGGUGCUGCCCCUGCUGGCGCUCACCUGGAUGUCUGCCGUCCUGGCUAUGACAGACCGCCGUUCCGUCCUCUUCCAGGCCCUCUUUGCUGUCUUCAACUCCGCGCAGGGCUUUGUCAUCACUGCUGUGCACUGCUUCCUGCGCCGAGAGGUCCAGGAUGUGGUGAAGUGCCAGAUGGGGGUGUGCCGGGCUGAUGAGAGCGAAGACUCCCCUGACUCGUGUAAGAACGGGCAGCUGCAGAUCCUGUCAGACUUUGAAAAGGAUGUGGAUCUGGCUUGUCAAACAGUGCUGUUCAAGGAGGUCAACACUUGCAACCCGUCCACCAUCACGGGCACACUGUCUCGCCUGUCCCUGGAUGAGGAUGAGGAGCCCAAGUCCUGCCUCGUGGGCCCUGAGGGCAGCCUCAGCUUCUCACCACUGCCUGGGAAUAUCCUGGUGCCCAUGGCAGCCUCACCAGGGCUGGGGGAGCCUCCGCCCCCACAGGAGGCCAACCCUGUUUACAUGUGUGGGGAGGGUGGCCUGCGGCAGCUGGACCUCACAUGGCUGCGGCCCACUGAGCCAGGCUCUGAGGGAGACUACAUGGUGCUGCCCCGGCGGACUUUGAGCCUGCAGCCUGGCGGUGGGGGUGGAGGUGGUGAGGAUGCCCCCAGGGCCCGGCCCGAGGGGACCCCCCGGCGAGCUGCCAAGACAGUGGCCCACACUGAAGGCUACCCCAGCUUCCUGUCCGUGGACCAUUCGGGCCUGGGGCUGGGCCCUGCCUAUGGAUCUCUCCAGAAUCCCUAUGGAAUGACCUUCCAACCACCACCGCCGACACCCAGCGCCCGCCAAGUGCCCGAGCCAGGGGAGCGCAGCCGGACCAUGCCUCGCACCGUGCCCGGCUCUACCAUGAAGAUGGGCUCCCUGGAGCGAAAGAAAUUACGGUAUUCAGACCUGGACUUUGAGAAGGUGAUGCACACCCGGAAACGGCAUUCAGAACUCUACCACGAGCUCAACCAGAAGUUCCACACUUUCGACCGCUACCGCAGCCAGUCCACGGCCAAGAGGGAGAAGCGGUGGAGUGUGUCCUCGGGUGGGGCGGCCGAGCGGAGCGUGUGCACCGUGAGUCCCCCCGGGCUGGGUGGGGUGAGGUGGGCCUGAGGGACCCGUGCCCUCCCUGCCCUCCUGCCCCUCCCAGGCAACCCCAGCCUGUCUCACCAAGGGCUUCCCCCACGGCAUGGGCAACAGUCUGGGGCCGCCUGGGGGUGGGGAAGGUGCGGCAGAUGGCGAACAGGGGUGGAGGUCCUCCAGGAUUGGGAGGGAGAGCGGUCAGCAGGAGAUAUGUCCUGGGGGCCACUGAGAACAGGGAUCAGGAACCCCACCCUGGAACCAGGCAGGUCUGUAUUUGAAUUCUGCUUGACACCUGAUUGCUCCAUAACUUUGGGCAUUACCAGCCCUCUCUGGGACUCCUCAGUUUGUUCGUCUGUACAAUGGGUAAGGUUAUUGGUCCAUCUCCACGGCCCCUCCCGCUCCCUCCACAGGAUAAGCCCAGCCCUGGGGAGCGCCCCAGCUUGUCCCAACAUCGGCGCCAUCAGAGCUGGAGCACCUUCAAAUCUAUGACACUGGGCUCGCUGCCCCCCAAGCCCCGAGAACGGCUGACUCUGCACCGGGCAGCAGCCUGGGAGCCCACAGAACCACCGGAUGGUGACUUCCAGACAGAGGUGUGAGUGCCACGCUGGACUGCCCACUGCAUAUAAAUAUAUAUAUCUCUCUAUUUUCACACUCCACUUUGGAACUACCCAGGAGCCAGCACCCUCUCCCCUCUCCCGAGGGCUGGGCAGGGAGGCGUCGUGGACUCAGCCAGGCUGGGGGAGCCGGACAUGGCUUGGCCUGGGGUCCCAGGGCCCUUCCUUGUUUCUCAGAGGCCCCUCAGCCACUGGAACCCCAUCUUCAGCCCAGCCUGUCAGUCCCUGUCCCGGGCUGGGGAGGUGGGAGGGGAACUUUGUUGGGAAUAAACUUCACUCUGUGG